rnacentral:rRNA from 1 species
GGAUCCAGACUUUGAUCAUGGCUCACGAUGAACGCUAGCGACAGGCUUAACACAUGCAAGUCGAGGGGCAGCGAGGGAGUGGCAACACUUCUGUCGGCGACCGGCGCACGGGUGAGUAACGCGUAUGCAACCUGCCCUUCACAGGGGGAUAACCGGGAGAAAUUCCGACUAAUACCGCAUACGUCCUCCGGGGGCAUCCCCGGGGGAUGAAAGAAUUAUCGGUGAAGGAUGGGCAUGCGUGAUAUUAGGUAGUUGGCGGGGCAACGGCCCACCAAGCCUACGAUAUCUAGGGGUUCUGAGAGGAAGGUCCCCCACAUUGGUACUGAGACACGGACCAAACUCCUACGGGAGGCAGCAGUGAGGAAUAUUGGUCAAUGGACGAGAGUCUGAACCAGCCAAGUCGCGUGAAGGAAGACGGAUCUAUGGUUUGUAAACUUCUUUAGUGCGGGAACAAAGCGGCGUCGUGACGCCGGAUGAGUGUACCGCAAGAAUAAGCAUCGGCUAACUCCGUGCCAGCAGCCGCGGUAAUACGGAGGAUGCGAGCGUUAUCCGGAUUUAUUGGGUUUAAAGGGAGCGCAGGCUGCGAGGCAAGUCAGCGGUCAAAUGUCGGGGCUCAACCCCGGCCUGCCGUUGAAACUGUCCUGCUAGGGUUCGAGUGAGGUAUGCGGAAUGCGUUGUGUAGCGGUGAAAUGCAUAGAUAUGACGCAGAACUCCGAUUGCGAAGGCAGCAUACCAACUCGCGACUGACGCUGAGGCUCGAAAGCGUGGGUAUCGAACAGGAUUAGAUACCCUGGUAGUCCACGCAGUAAACGAUGAAUACUAACUGUUCGGAGGGCGACCUCUGAGUGGUAAAGCGAAAGCGUUAAGUAUUCCACCUGGGGAGUACGCCGGCAACGGUGCAACUCAAAGGAAUUGACGG